ACGUAGGGUGCGAGCGUUAAUCGGAAUUACUGGGCGUAAAGCGUACGCAGGCGGCUGGGUAAGACAGGUGUGAAAUCCCCGGGCUUAACCUGGGAACUGCAUUUGUGACUGCAGGGCUGGAGUGCGUCAGAGGGAGGUGGAAUUCCGCGUGUAGCUGUGAAAUGCGUAGAGAUGCGGAGGAACACCGAUGGCGAAGGCAGCCUCCUGGGAUGACACUGACGCUCAUGCACGAAAGCGUGGGGAGCAAACAG
rnacentral:rRNA from 1 species